rnacentral:tRNA from 1 species
GGCCGUAUAGUCCAACAGGGAGGAGACAACAGACUUAAAAUCUGUACAGUCCAGGUUCAAAUCCCGGUGCGGCUA